UAGGGAAUAUUAGUAAUGGGCGCAAGCCUGAACUAGCAACGCCGCGUGUGCGAAAAAGGCCUUCGGGUUGUAAAGCACUUUUUGAGAGGAUGAGGAAGGACGGUACUCUCAGAAUAAGUCUCGGCUAACUACGUGCCAGCAGCCGCGGUAACACGUAGGAGGCGAACGUUAUCCGGAUUUACUGGGCGUAAAGCGCGUGUAGGUGGUUUGGUAAGUAGGGCGUGAAAGCUCCUGGCUCAACUGGGAGAGGCCGUUCUAAACUGCCGAACUAGAGGAUGGUAGAGGGAGGUGGAAUUCCGGGUGUAGCGGUGGAAUGCGCAGAUAUCCGGAGGAACACCAGUGGCGAAAGCGGCCUCCUGGGCCACUCCUGACACUCAGACGCGAAAGCUAGGGUAGCAAACGG
rnacentral:rRNA from 1 species